rnacentral:misc_RNA from 1 species
GAUGAAGAACGUAGUGAAAUGCGAUAAGUAAUGUGAAUUGCAGAAUCUCGUGAAUCAUUGAAUCUUUGAACGCACAUUGCGCCCUAUGGUAUUCCAUAGGGCAUACCUGUUUGAGCGUCAACUCUCCCAUCUUCUCAAGCAUUAUUUUAUAAUGUUUGGAUUUGUUUGGAGAGGCCCCUCAUUUAUAGAGGUGCCCUUCAGAAAUGUAUAUGGCAGUAUAGUUUGUAUCUGAGCCAGGCGUAAUAAUGAAUAAAGUCGCUGAGCUUACUAUGAUUGUACUUGCCUGAACCCACCCAUUGUUAGUUUGGGUGACCUCAGAUCAGGUAGGGAUACCCGCUGAACUUAAGCAUAUCAAUAAGCGGAGGA